AGUUCAGUGGAACCGCUCUAGUGGCCAAGGAUUCCGCUCUUUCAAGGCGGAGACACGGGUUCGACUCCCGUAGGCGACGCCA
rnacentral:tRNA from 1 species